CAUUUUCCUCCUCCAACCUCCAUAACCACUGCCUGAAAAGGGAGUGGACACAAGAGACACACAAGGAACAUCGGAGGAGUAAAUUAGGAGGGGACUAGUAGAGUCUGCGGGGGAGGUGUUAGUAUUCAUAUUAACAUCCAUGAACAAUGAACAGAUUCAACAACACAGGAAUAGUAUCAAUGAACAGACCACAAUCAAACCAGAACUGGCAUGCAACAUAUACAACACGUAGAACAGAGAAAGUGUUACCUUCCUUCUUUGCGACCGGAGAAGAACGGCCUUCAACCACCAGAUAAGACUAAGUCCGGUCACCGGAGAUUGCAAUUAAACGGAAAUUCACCAAAAUAAGGUCACACACGUCGGAAGCUUACCCAAAACGCCUAUCGACCGAAAGCAAAGUCAUCGGAUAGCAUCAAAACCCCAGGUCCAAAAGUCGGAAAACCCUAGAGUUUGAAGAACUCGUCGGAAUAAGACCAGAGAUGUCGGAGAAACACCCAAAACAGGUCCGAAAGUCGAAAAACACUAGAGUUUGAAGAACUCGUCGGAAUAAGACCAGAGAUAUCAGAUAGCACCCAAAAUAUCUACUGAUACAUAAUCGGAGCCUCAAACAGUCAGAAAAGUUCCGAUUAUCCGUUUAACAUUCAUCGAAAAAUAUACGAACAGUAUUUUUUCUCAGAUAACUGAAGAAAAACUUCAGAAAAAGCUUCAGCAAGUAUCUAUAACACAUAACAGGGAAGGAUCGGAAGAUUUUCCUGCUCUGAUACAUGAAAACAUGGAGAUUUGAUGAUGAAAGCCAGAGAAAAUAGAGAUGAACAGGAAGAGUCAGAGAGAGAGAAAAUGAGAAGCUUCUAGUUUCUCCCAGAAGCCAAAAU
rnacentral:lncRNA from 1 species